rnacentral:rRNA from 1 species
UACGUAGGGUCCGAGCGUUGUCCGGAAUUACUGGGCGUAAAGAGCUCGUAGGUGGUUUGUCGCGUUGUUCGUGAAAACUCACAGCUCAACUGUGGGCGUGCGGGCGAUACGGGCAGACUGGAGUACUGCAGGGGAGACUGGAAUUCCUGGUGUAGCGGUGGAAUGCGCAGAUAUCAGGAGGAACACCGGUGGCGAAGGCGGGUCUCUGGGCAGUAACUGACGCUGAGGAGCGAAAGUGUGGGGAGCGAACAGG